rnacentral:tRNA from 1 species
CGGGGCAUAGCGCAGUCUGGUAGCGCACCUGCUUUGGGAGCAGGGGGUCGCAGGUUCAAAUCCUGCUGCCCCGACCA